rnacentral:misc_RNA from 1 species
AUGGAAAAGGAUAAAGCUGAUGAAAUUCUUAACACAUUGUUACAACGAGAACGGAUUGCUUCCAAUAAACAAAGAAGACAAUCAGAUUCACUAACAGAAACGUAUAAUCGGAUGCUUGUAAAUCCCGAACGUCUUUUGAAAAACAUAAAGUUGCUUAUUGAUGCAGCAGGCGAUGUUUAUCUUCGAAAAGAACUCGGCGAAUUUUAUAUGUUUGUUUCAGACAACCUUCAUUAUUUGAAGGGGGCAAGAGGAAUACAUGACUUGUUCGACGACUGUAAUCCGAAUCUUUUUUGGAAAAAAUUACAGUUAGUCAUUGGAACAAAUGAGGAUGUUCAAAUUCGACGAGAAGUCAACGAAAUGUAUAUGUAUGCUUUAAAUGUCUCUCAUCAAACGUGCGAAUACAUGUCUGGGAGUAAAGGUGAAGGAUUUCUUUUUAGUUGGAGUGACAUCGAUGUCAUGGCUUCCAGAAUUCUAUUUACUAUCAAGGAACGUUUAUUAGCUCAAUCGAAAAGCAACAUUUCAACGAAAACGUUGACCACACAAAUCGUGGACCCUGCCUGUCCACAAAAUAUCCGGACGGAUUUGACAGAUGUGUUGCGUUGCCAGUACAUAUAGAUUCUUCGAAU